CGGACUUGACGUUGGUUUACCAGCGAGUGGCGGACGGGUGAGUAACACGUAGGUAACCUGCCCCAAAGCGGGGGAUAACAUUUGGAAACAGAUGCUAAUACCGCAUAACAAUUUGAAUCGCAUGAUUCAAAUUUAAAAGAUGGCUUCGGCUAUCACUUUGGGAUGGACCUGCGGCGCAUUAGCUUGUUGGUAGGGUAACGGCCUACCAAGGCUGUGAUGCGUAGCCGAGUUGAGAGACUGAUCGGCCACAAUGGAACUGAGACACGGUCCAUACUCCUACGGGAGGCAGCAGUAGGGAAUCUUCCACAAUGGGCGCAAGCCUGAUGGAGCAACACCGCGUGAGUGAAGAAGGGUUUCGGCUCGUAAAGCUCUGUUGUUAGAGAAGAACGUGCGUGAGAGCAACUGUUCACGCAGUGACGGUAUCUAACCAGAAAGUCACGGCUAACUACGUGCCAGCAGCCGCGGUUAAUACGUAGGUGGCAAGCGUUAUCCGGAUUUAUUGGGGCGUAAAGCGAGCGCAGGCGGUUUGAUAAGUCUGAUGUGAAAGCCUUUGGCUUAACCAAAGAAGUGCAUCGGAAACUGUCAGACUUGAGUGCAGAAGAGGACAGUGGAACUCCAUGUGU
rnacentral:rRNA from 1 species